GCUAAUCAGAGCCUAGCUGACAGAUCCCAAUGAAAUGCCAUUCUGCAGCUGUGCCCAGCAUUCACAUCCCAGUAGACUCCUACCUCUUUUUUUCUAAUUAGCCUGGCUGGGUCCAGCGUGAUCAGCAGAGAGAAUGCGUGCAGAGAGAGGAAAAACGAGAAAGAGAGAACUCAACUAUGCGCCACCUGCUCCAAACGUUUGCGGCUAUAAAUCUCUGAAGCUGAACCAUACAGGCUGGAGAGAAAGACUGAAAGAACGAGAGAAAAUGAGAGAAAAUGAAAGAGUUUGAGAGAGACAGAGUACCCAGCCAUUCCAGGCAGGCUGACUGACUGAUGGGACCGUGGAUGGGCAUUGAUGAUGGGGAUUGGAGCGAGAAAGGGUUGUGGCCCUAGCACCUUUCUCUCAACAGGCACAGUGCUAGUAAGAAAGGCACAAACAUGAGUGAAUGGAAACAGCACCUGGUUUUGUUCUCUGUGCCCCAGCACUGCCUGUUCACCAGUCCCAAGCACUACUUCUGCCCCCAGUAGACUGGUGAUUGGCCCCCAGCUCAUCUCCCGCACUGAGAUGCAGUGCAGAAUUAGAAAUAAUCUUCAUGCUGAACCUGGGAAGCUCUAUCCUGGGCCCACCUCCAAGACCUACUCCACUGUCUUGCUCCUCACCGACGCCUCAGAGCAGCAGCAGUAGUAGCAGGUGUGUGAGAAGGGAGAAAAGGGCUGCAGACUCAGUUAUUGACAUGUCACUCGUAAAGGCAAGACAUAUCUCAAGAUCUGGAGAACGUCAUGUACCGAGCCACCAGCUUGUCCCAGAGGGUCCUGGCACCUAUUGCUGAUUUCACGGAUGAACUCUCGCCAAAACUCUGGGAGGAAUUCGAUCACCAGCUGCAUGAGUUCAUGCAUGACUUCAAGAAGAGGACAUGGACUGAACGACUGGGACCACAGUGAAAUUAACAACUUGUUCUGUUGUUAUUCAGACAUUUCUGGACUCAGACACUAGACACUUUCAUUGUGUUUGAUGGACACUUUUGUUGUUUACAUGUCUGUUCAUAGCAGACACUGUUGUACUAUUGCUCAGAAAGAUUUGACACUACACUCUGGCACUUACAUUUUAUUCCAUAGACACUUGUUUGCAUGUCUUUUCUCA
ensembl:lncRNA